rnacentral:lncRNA from 1 species
UGGAAGCUAUCAACCCUCGCUAGCAAGACCUGAAGCGCCUGAAUCUGCACACACGGUGCAGGGAGUAAAGUGAGUACUCCAACAUAGUGAGUAAUAACAAUAAAUGAAGACUGAGCGAUAAGAAAUCACGUAAAAACACAUCAACAUGCUAUAAAGAAGUAGCGUAAGACCAAUAAAAGCAAUGAAACAGUGAAAACAUAUAAAGUCGACUUAGUUCAAAAUAAGCUACUUUAAAACACCUUUUAAUAGUUAAACAAUUAAAUGAAAGCAGCUAGAACAGAUAAACACAUAAAUUCCGUCCCUCGGGCACAAUGUCAAUAGAAUCAGCCCCUCGGGCAAUAACAUGGAACAAUACCAGCCCCUCGGUCUAUAUCUCAUAUCACAAUGGGUACCCGCGCUUACUGGGGGAGUACAGACUCCAGGAGGGGCCCCUUAUGGCCCAAGCGCAAUAUCAAGCCAUCUCGUGGCAUAAUCAGUAGGCUCUCGGCCUCAUAUCAACAAGCCACCUCUUGGCGUACAAUCUCGGGCCCUCGACCUCAUAAUCAUAAAUCAGUGUAUCACUGUUGCGACAUGCAGCCCAACCGAAAAGUAUCCUCACAACACAGGCCCUUGGCCUUACUCAGUCAGAAAUCUCUAAAAGCCACUCAGGCAAAAUAAAAUAUGAUGCUCAACCCAAAAUAUCAUUUAAAGUAUUAAAAUAUAGUAAACAUGGCUGAGUUAUGAAAAAAGUAUAAUAUUGCAUGACUCAGUAAAGAUAUAAAAUCAAAACAGCGAGGACAUAAUAGUAAAAAUCCCCUAAGGGUCCAAAUAGUUGGCACGAGGCCCAAAUAGGGCAUUCAUCCCAAAACAUGAUGAUAACAAACAGUUUUUAAUCAAUUACGCGGUAAAACAGUCAUUCGGGAAGGACUAAGUCACCAUCCCCAAUGGUGCACGACCCCACACUCGUCAUCUAGCGUAUGCGUCACCUCAAUAUAGCACAACGAUGCGUAAUCCGGGAUUUCAUACCCUCGGGACAAUAUUUAUCAUCAUUACUCACCUCAAUCCGGUCCAAACUCUAGCCCGGGAUGCCUUUUCCCCUCGUAUCGGCCUCAACUCACAUCGAAUCUACCCAAAAUCAGAAUCACGACGUUAAAAUAUGCUAAGGGAACGAAGCCCAUGCAAAAAUAAUCAAUUUACAACAUAAAUCCCGAAAUUAACCAAAACCUGACCCCGGGCCCACAUCUCGAAAUUUGAUAAAAUUUACAUCAAUAGAUUCAUUGUCUCCCCAUGAGUUCAUACAUAUCAAAAGUCCCAAAAUCCGACCACAACUGGCCCCUCAAAUCCUCAAGUUAAGGUCUCCAAUACAAAGCCCUAAUCCCCAAUUUUUAACUCUUAAUUUCCAUUAAUCUUAGGCCAAAUCAAUGAAAUCAUGCCAUAGGAUCGAUUAUUAGGUUCAAAAAUCUUACUUCCAUACAUUAUCCCGUGAAUCCCUCUUCAAAAUCUCACAAAACACUCCAAAACCGACUUGAAAUGGUGAAGAACAACUCAAAAUUCGCGAAGGAAAUCUUUUAUACCUUCUAGCCUAGACUUUUCGCACCUGUGGCCUUUUUACCGCUUCUGCAGUCUUGACCACCGCACCUGCAGUUUCCAUUUAAACUCCCAAAGUCGCAUAUGCGAUCAAAUAACUGCACCUGCGCCAUCGCAGAUGCGCUUGGAACUUCUCAUCCGCGGAUCCUCUCCUUCGCAUCCUUGACCGCAUUUGCAGUCCUCUCUUCGCAUCAGCAGCGUCGCACCUGCGGUCCCCAAUCUGCAAGUGCGGAAACAACAGAAACAGAAAAAUUCUGCAGCUUCACCAAAACUUCAAACUUUCCGUCAACCAUCCGAAAUCACCCCGAGGCCCCCAGGACCUCAACCAAAAGCACCAGCAAGUCAUAUACUACUAUUCAAACUUAUACCAAUCUUCAAAACACCUCGAACAACAUCGAAUCAACCAAAACACAUCGGAUACAAGCCUAAGGUUCCCAAAAUCUUCCGAAUUACGCUUUUGAUCAAAAAGUUUACCAAACCACGUCCGAAUGACCUGAAAUUUUGCAAACACAUCCCAAAUAACACAACGGACAUACUACAGCUCCCGGAAUUCCAUUCCGACCCCUAUAUCAGAAUCUCACCUAUCAACCAAAUAUGCCAAAAUUCCAAUUUCGCCAAUUCAAGCCUAAAUCUACUCCGCGCCUCCAAAACACAUUCCGAUCACGCUCCUAAGUCCCAAAUCACCUCCCAAAGCUAUCCGAAACAUCGGAACUCACAUCCAAGCCGUUCAACAUAUAAGUCAAUAUCCGGUUGACUUUUCCAACUUAAGCUUCUUCAAAAGAGACUAAGUGUCUCAAACCUUACCAAAACCUCUCCGAACCCGAGCCAACCAACCAAGUAAUACAAAAAUACAGCUGAACAAGGCAAUAAGAAGCAGAAAUGGGGGAAAGAGAGCGGUAACUCAUGAAACGACCGGCCAGGUCAUUACAUCCUCCCCCCUCUUAAACAGACGUUCAUCCUCGAACGAGUCAAGAAACAUACUUGAAGCCUCAAAUAGGUGAGGAUAUCUGUUCCGCAUCUCCCGCUCGGUCUCCCAGGUAGCCUCCUCCACGGGCCGACCUCUCCACCACUUUCACUAAAGCUAUAUCCUUUGAUCUCAACUUUCGGACCUGACGCUCCAAAAUAGCUGCUGGCUCCACAUCAUAAGUCAAAUCACCAUCUAACUGAACCGUGCUAAAUUCCAGAGCAUGAGACGAAUCCCCAAUAUACUUCCAGAGCAUAGAAACAUGAAAUACCGGAUGCACACUCGACAAGCUGGGUGUCAAAGCAAGCUCAUAAGCCACCUCCCCAAUCCUCCAGAGCACCUUAAAAGGCCCAAUGAACCGAGGACUCAACUUACCCUUCUUCCCAAAUCUCAUAACACCCUUCAUGGGGGAAACCUUCAACAGAACCUUCUCACCAAAUAUGUAGAACAUAUCCCUGACCUUCCUAUCAGCAUAACUCUUUUGUCUCGAGUAUGCUGUUGUUAUAAGCAACAACACAGUCUGUCCCCAAUAGCCUAGCCUCACCCGGCUCAAACCAACCAACUGGAGAUCUACACCACCUCCCUUACAAAGCCUUAUACGGAGCCAUCUGAAUACUCGACUGGUAGCUGUUGUUAUAAGCAAACUCUGCGAGCGGUAGAAACCGAUCCCAUAAUCCUCAGAAAUCAAUGACACAAGCACACAACAUGUUCUCCAAUAUCUGAAUAGUGCCCUUGGACUGGCCGUCCGUCUGAGGGUGAAAAGUUAUGCUCAACUUAACCUGAGUACCCAACUCUUGCUGCACAGACCUCUAAAACUGCGAAGUAAACUGAGUUCCCCUAUCUGAAAUGAUGGAAACUGGGACACCAUGCAAACGAACAAUCUCCUGGAUAUAGAUCUCUGCCAACCGCUUUGAAGAAUAGGUAGUACACAUAGGAAUGAAGUGCGCGGACUUGGUCAACCAAUCCACAAUCACCCAAAUAGCAUCGAACUUCUUCAAAGUAUGUGGGAGCCCAACUACAAAGUCCAUGGUGAUCCGCUCCCACUUCCACUCUGGAAUAUCAAUCUACUGAAGCAAGCCACCCAGUCUUUGAUGCACAUAUUUCACCUGCUGACAAUUGAGACACCGAGCUACAAAUCUCACAAUGUCGUUCUUCAUUCUCCUCCACCAAUAAUGCUGUUUCAGAUCCUGAUACAUCUUUGCGGCACCCGGAUGAAUGGAAUACCGCGAGAUAUGGGCCUCUUCUAGAAUCAACUCCCGAAGCCCAUCCACAUUGGGCACACAUAUCCGGCCCUGCAUCCUCAACACCCCAUCAUCACCAAUAGUCACAUCUCUAGCAUCAUUGUGUUGAACUCUGUCCCUAAGGGCAAGCAAAUGAGGAUUAUCAUACUGGCGCUCUCUGAUGCGAUCAUAUAAGGAAGACCGAAAAAUCACACAAGCCAAUAAUCGACUGGGCUCUGAAAUAUCUAACCUCAAAAACAGACUGGCCAAGGUAUGAACAUCCACUACAAGAGGUCUCUCCCCAACUGGAAUAUAUGCCAAACUCCCCAUACUCACCGCCUUCCGACUCAAAUCAUCGGCCACCAUAUUGGCCUUUAUCGGAUGGUACAAAAUAGUAAUAUCAUAAUCAUUUAGCAACUCCAACCAUCUCCGCUGCCUCAAAUUGAGAUCCUUCUAUUUGAACAAGUGCUAGAGGCUACAAUGAUCAGUAAACACCUCAAAAGACACAACAUACAGAUAAUGCCUCCAAAUCUUCAACGCGUGAACAAUGGUAGCCAACUUCAAAUCAUGAACAUGGUAGUUUUCUCAUGGGGCUUCAACUGGCAAGAAGCAUAAGAAAUAACUCUACCCUUCUGCGUCAAUACACACCCAAUAUCAACCCUCGAAGCAUCACAAUACAUGGUAUAUAAACUUGAAGCUGAUGGAAAAACUAACACUAGAGUCGUGGUCAAGGCAUUCUUAAGCUUUUGGAAGCUCUCCUUACACUCGUCUGACCACAUGAAUGGAGCACCCUUCUGAGUUAACUUAAUCAAUGGAGAUGCGAUAUAUCAGAAACCCUGAACAAACCGGUUGUAAUAAUCCGCCAAACCAAGAAGGCUACGAAUCUCUGUGGCUGAGGACAAUCUGGGCCAAUUCUGAACCGCCUCUAUCUUCUUUGGAUCAACCUGUAUACCCUCGCUGGACACCACGUGCCCCAAGAAAGCCACUAAACUGAGGCAAAACUCACACUUGGAGAACUUUGCAUAAAACUUCUCCUUCCUCAAUCUCUGCAACACACCUCUCAAAUGCUCCGCGUGCUACACCUGACUACGCGAAUACACCAAAAUAUCAUCAAUGAAAACUAUGACAAACGAGUCGAGAUAAGGCCAAAACACGAUGUUCAGCAAAUGCAUGAAUGCUGUUGGGGUAUUGGUCAGCCCAAAAGACAUCACCAAGAACUCAUAAUGACCAUAUCGGGUCCCGAAAGCUAUCUUAAGAAUAUCCGAGUCCAUGUGCUUCAAUUGGUGAUAACCUGAAUGGAGAUCAAUCUUGGAGAACACUCUCGCUCCCUGAAGCUGGUCGAAUAAAUCAUCAAUGCGAGGCAAAAGUUACUUGUUCUUAACUAUUACAUUCUUCAACUGCCUAUAAUCAAUGCACAUCCUCAUAGUGCCAUACUUCUUCUUCAAAAAUAGAACCGGCGCACCCCAAGGUGACACACUAGGCCGAAUGAACCCCUUAUCAAGGAGUUCCUGAAGCUGCUUCUUUAACUCCUUCAACUCCGUUGGUGCCAUACAAUACGGCGGAAUAGAAAUGGGCUGAGUGUCCGGCACUAAAUCAAUACCAAAAUUGAUAUCCUUGUCUGGUGGCAUGCCCGGUAGGUCUGUAGGAAACACAUCGGGAAAAUCCCUCACCACUAGAACAAAAUCAAUACUGGGAGUCUCUGUACCGACAUCCCUCACAAAGGCUAGCUACUAAAGACAACCCUUCUCAACCAUACGUUGGGCCUUCAGAAAUGAAAUUACCCUACUGGGAACAUAAUCAGUCAAACCUCGCCACUCAAUCCGUGGCACACCCGGUAUAGCCAAUGUCACUGUCUUAGCAUGACAGUGUAGAAUAGGACGACAUGGAGAUAGACAAUCCAUGCCCAAAAUAACAUCGAAAUCCACCAUACAUAACAACAAAAGAUCCACUCGGGUCUCCACACCCCAAAUAAUCACCACACACGAUUGGUACACACGGUCUGCAACAACUAUAUCGCUCACCGAAGUAGAUACAUGAACACGUGAAAUAAGAGACUCAUAGGGCGUAUCCAAAUAACGAGCAAAGUAUGAUGACACAUAAGAAUAAGUGGAACCGAGAUCAAAUAAUACAGAGGCAUCUCUGUGGCAGACUGAGACAAUACCUGUAAUAACAACAUUGGAAGCGAUAACAUUGGGUCUAGCUGGAAGUGCAUAAAAAUGGGCCUGACUGCCACCUGAUCGACAUCCCCCUCUAGGGCGACCCCUAGUUGACUGACCUCCACCCCUAGCUGGGUGGGUGGGUGGUGGUGAAGUAACUGGCGCUGGAGCCAAUGGCUGACCCCUCUACUGAGAUGCACCCCCAAGACAAGAGGAAACUGACUCCAUAUAUGACCCAUCUCUCCAUAAUCAUAGCAACUCUCGGGUGUUGGAGAUGGUGAAUAAAGGGGACACCUAGCACCAGAAUGACUAGAAGAUGCACCUGGCAUAGAAAAACCCUGAACUAAUGGAGCACGGGACGAACUCUGAGCUGGAAGGGCACUGAGUGAUGACUGUCCCUAAUGAGAACUAUGAGAACCAUGACCCGAUAAUGCCCCACGAUNNNNNNNNNNNNNNNNNNNNNNNNNNNNNNNNNNNNNNNNNNNNNNNNNUACGUGAGACCAUCAACAAACCUCCUAAUCCUCUCUCUGUCUAUAGGAACCAACCAAAUAGCAUGACGACCUAAUUCUGAGAACCUCAUCUCACAUUGCAUCACAGUUAUCUCUCCCUGAUGCAACCACUCGAACUGCCUGCAUAGAUCCUCUCUACGAGACUGUGGCACAUACUUCUCCAAAAAGAGAACGGAGAACUGCUGCCAGGUUAGGGGUGCUGCACCAACAGGCCUAUGCCUCUCAUAAGCCUCCCACCAAGUGAAGGCAGCUCCAGAAAACUAAAAAGUAGUGAAAGUGACCCCGCUGGUCUCCAAAUUAGCCGUUGUGCGAAGAAUCCUCUAACACUUAUCCAAGAAAUCCUGGGCAUCCUUGCCCUGUCCACCACUGAAAGUUGGAGGCUGAAGUCUACCAAACCUCUCCAACCUAUGCUUCUCGUCCUCUGGCAUGGCAGGAGCUACAUAGUCCUAGCAGCUGCAACUGGCUGGGAUGGAUGUGCCCCCGAUGUCUGAAGUCCCUACACGACCUGCUCAAGUGUGCGAGUGGCGGGAGUUUGAGUGCCUCCCCCGGCCUGAGAAGUAGCUGCGGCUGUAGUAACUAAGACCGCCUGAGCUAGGCCAGUGCAUACUGAUAGAAUCUGAGCCAAGGCCUCCUAAAGACCCGGAAUCACAAUGGGCACAGCUGGUGCCUGAGCUGGUGUUGCUGGAGAGUCCACAACUGGGACCCGAUCCUGCAUUGGGGAGGCUGGUGGAUCUGCAAGUGCUGCCCUAGCUACUAUACGGGCCACACCCCUACCCCUACCGCGACCACAACCACGUCCUCGGCCUCUAGUGUCCACAGCUGGUGGUACUGGUGGUCGUCGAUCCUGACCAGUAGCGUGUGUCCUCACCAUCUGUGAGAGAAUAGAAUAAUAGAAGUUUCGUACUCGGAUCAACAGAUUCACACGACAAGAAUUUCAAGAAUAUGGAGUUUUUUUUCCUAAAGGUUCUGCAGCCUCUCGAGGAUAAAUACAAACAUCUCCGUAUCGAUCCGUGAGACUCUACUAAACAUGCUCAUGACUCGUGCGACCUAUGUAACCUAGGCUUUGAUACCAACUUGUCACGACCUUAAACCCGGACCCGGUCGUGAUGGCACCUCUCGUGAAGAUAAGGCUAGCUGACACAACACCCAAUUCAUUUUAAACAAUUAAAAUAGUACAAUUAAGUCAUUAACAUAUUUAAAUCCCAAAAAGAAACAAUGAAAUAGUAUAAUUUGCAGAAAGACCAACACUAACCGGCAUUGGGGUGUCACCAGUCAUGAGCAUUUAACAUAGUUUAGGAAUACGAAAAAAGGGACUACAUAGUCUAUUACAAAAUCCAGUACAAGGGAAAGAAAUAAUGAUAAGAGGGAGAAACACUGGGCUGCGAACGCCGAGCAGCUACCUAGUAGACUCCGAAAAUCUGUUGGAAGCUAUCAACCCUCGCUAGCAGGACUUGAAGCGCCUGAAUCUGCACACAGAGUGUAUGGAGUAAAGUGAGUACUCCAACUCAUUGAGUAAUAACAAUAAAUGAAGACUGAGCGAUAAGAAAUCACGUAAAAAUAUAUCAACAUGCUAUAAAGAAGCAGUGUAAGACCAAUAAAAGUAAUGAAACAGUGAAAACAUAUAAAGUCGACUUAGUUCAAAAUAAGUUUCUUUAAAACAUCUUUUUAACAGCUAAACAAUUAAAUGAAAAGCAGCUAGAAUAGAUAAACACAUAAAAUCUGCCCCUCAGGCACAAUGUUAACAGAAUUAGCCCCUCGGGCAAUAACAUGGAACAACACCAACCCCUCGGGCUAUAUCUCAUAUCACAAUGGGUGCCCGCGCUCACUGGGGAUGUACAGACUCCGGGAGGGGCCCCUUACAGCCCAAGCGCAACAUCAAGCCAUCUCGUGGCAUAAUCAGUAGGCUCUCGGCCUCAUAUCAACAAGCCACCUUGUGGCGUACAAUCUCGGGCCCUCGGCCUCAUAAUCACAAAUCAGUGUAUCACUGUUGCAACAUAUAGCCCAACCCAAAAGUAUCCUCACAACAUAGGCCCUCGGCCUUACUCAGUCAGAAAUCUCUAAAAGCCACUCGGGCACAGUAAAAUAUGAUGCUCAACCCAAAAUAUCAUUUAAAGUAUUAAAACAGAGUAAACAUGGCUGAAUUAUGAAGACAAUAUAAUAUAGCAUGACUGAGAAUAGAUAUAAAAUCAAAACAGUGAGGAAAUAACAGUAAAAAUACCCUAAGGAUCCAAAUAGUUGGCACGAGGCCCAAAUAUGGCAUUCAUCCCAAAACAUGAUGAUAGUAAAAAGUUUUCAAUCAAUUACUCGGUAAAACAAUCAUUCGGGAAGGACUAAGUUACAAUCCCCAACGGUGCAUGACCCCACGCUCGUUAUCUAGCAUCUGCAUCACCUCAAUAUAGCACAACGAUGUGUAAUCCAGGGUUUCAUACCCUCAGGAAAAUAUUUACAAUCAUUACUCACUUUAAUCUGAUCCAAAAUCUAGCCCGCGACGCCUUUUCCCCUCGAAUCGGCCUCAACUCGCAUCGAAUCUAUCCAAAAUCAGAAUCACGAUGUCAAAAUAUGCUAAGGGAACAAAGCCCAUGGGAAAAUAAUCAAUUUACACCAUAAAUCCCAAAAUUAACCAAAACCCGACCCCCGAUCCCACGUCUCGGAAUUCGAUAAAAUUUACAUCAAUAGAUUCUUUGUCUCCCCAUGAGUUCAUACAUAUCAAAAGUCCCAAAAUCUGACCACAAAUGACCCCUCAAAUCCUCAAGUUAAGGUCUCCAAUACCAAUCCCUAAUCUCCAAUUUUUAACCCUUAAUUUCUAUUAAUCUUAGGCAAAAUCAGUGAAAUAAUGCCAUAUGAUCGAUUAUUAGGUUCAAAAAUCUUACCUCCAGACGCUAUCCCUUGAAUCCCUCUUCAAAAACUCUCAAAAAGCUCCAAAACCAACUUGAAAUAGUGAAGAAAAACUAAAAAAUCGCGAAGGAAUUCUUUUAUACCUUCUGGCCCAGGCUUUUCGCACCUGCGGCCCUUUUACCGCUUCUGUGGUCUUGACCACCGCACCUGCAGUUUCCACUUAUACGCCCAAAGUCGCAUAUGGGAUCAAAUAACCGCACCUACGGCGAGCUAAGCACUCCACAUCUGUAACUACUCUCCUUUGAAUCCUUGGCCGCAUAUGGUCCUCGCUUCGCAUCUGUGGUGUCACACCUGUGGUCCCCAAUCCACAGUUGCGGAAACAACUGAAGCAGAAAAAUUCUGCAGCUUUACAAAAACUUCAAACUUUUCGUCAACCAUCCGAAAUCACACCGAGGCCCCCAGGACCUCAACCAAAAGCACAAAAAAGUCAUAUACUACUAUUCAAACUUAUAUCAAUCUUGAUAACACCUCGAACAACAUCGAAUCAACCAAAACACAUCGUAUUCAAUCCUAAGGUUCCCAAAAUCUUCUGAAUUACGCUUUUGAUCAAAAAGUCUACCAAACCAUGUCCGCAUGACCUGAAAUUUUGCACACACAUCUCAAAUAACAGAACAGGCCUACUGCAACUCCCGGAAUUCCAUUCCGACCCCAAUAUCAAAAUCUCACUUAUCAACCGGAAACGUCAAAAUUCCAAUUUCGCCAAUUCAAGCCUAAAUCUACUUUGUACCUCUAAAACACAUUUCGAUCACGCUCCUAAGUCCCAAAUCACCUCCCGAAGCUAUCUGAACCAUCAGAACUCACAUCCAAGCCCUUCAACACAUAAGUCAACAUCCGGUUGACUUUUCCAACUUAAGCUUCUUCAAAAGAGACUAAGUGUCUCAAACUUUACCAAAACCUCUCCGAACCCAAGCCAACCAACCCGGUAAUACAAAAAUACAACUGAAAUAGGGGAAACAUAGCGGUAACUCAUGAAAUAACCGGUCGGGUCAUUACAAAAACCUAGACAUAUUGUUCUAGACCUGGCUUACUCGAGCGGACAACUCGAGCCAAGGGGGCAACUACCGGUAACCAAAAGGCUAUCUGACUUUGUAACUGAUCUGAACCUUGUUCUAAAUUAGGGCAUGACUCUAACAGAAAAGAAGUCACGCCAGCGUGCACUUUCCAGAAGAUUUAGAAUACUCAGAGAGAAGAAGGGUUUCGUAACAGUUUAUAUACAGUUCAAAGAAAAUCAAAGCGGUAAAAAGCGGCAGUUAACACAAUAGGCUCAAACACGUAGUAAAUUAGAUAAUAAAUAAAGUCAACUAUAACAGUUAUUCUAAGCUCAAAUUCUUGAACCUGAACCAGAGGUUCUGGGCUUUUUCCCCAUCAGAGUCGCCAGAGUUGUCACACCUCCUUUUUUCCGCAAGGGGAUAUAAGAGAGUUUUUCCAUUUUAAGUGACAUUAAUAAAAAUGAGAUUAUUUUAUUUAUUUCAGAGUCGCCACUUGGAAUAAUUUAUGGUGUCCCAAGUCACUGGUUUAUUUUAAAUCCCAAAUCAAGAAAAAUUGACUCUAUUUUUAAUCCGCGAACACAGAAGACCGGGUAAGGAAUUCUGUUAACCCGGGAGAAGGUUUUAGGCAUUCCCGAGUUUCAAGGUUUUAGCACGAUUGCUCAACUAUUAAUAAUUGGCCUAAUUAUCUGAUUUAUUACAUGUUUUAAACCUAUUGCGUAUUUUUAACUUUAUACCGCUUUUAAUGAUUUAUGGAGUUAUUUCUGGAACAAGUCACGAUUGCUGUACACUUGUUUGUUUUUGUACAUAUUGUGAAUCGCAUCAUGGGAACCGUACCCACGAUCUACAACAUGUGUAUUUUAUUAUUGUUCGAAGUUAUGGUCGGGUCACAUGAAAUGCACACCCGAAUUGGGGAUUAAGUAUCGUGACUAUGCCACGGGAACCGUACCCAUAUUCAUCAUUAUAAUUUAUUAAUCAUUAAUCGCACCUAAAGCAAGCUACAAUAUUCAUCUAUUAUUCUUAAGCUACUUUGAGAUUGUUGUGAUGUCGUGAUUUAUGGAUAUAACAUUGGGGAAAGAUAUGUAUGAUUUUAGCUAUUGCAAAAAAGAAAAGAUGAGCUGGGUAUUGGAAUAAAUUGGCCAGCAUGUAUCAACAUUCUACAACCCAACAACUAAAGCCCCAAACUUAUUAUAGGGUCUAAACCUUCUCAAUUUCAAAUAAAAACAUAAAUACUAUAUUUCAAAACCACCCAACGGCCCAACUCCAAACCAUUUGAGUUACCCGAUUUUGCUCCUUUUUUCAAAUCUUAUCUGACCAAAAUAUAUGUUCAUCAAAUAUUAUUCUAGGUGUGACGUCCAUAUCUCAAGCAUUCAAAUGGAUUGCACAUGAAAUAAAUAACUUGAAGAAAAUAUUUAAAGAUAUCACUAUAUAUGACAUCAAACUUUUAAAACUAAACAAAUGUGUCAAACCCAUGAAACAACUUUAGCUUCACGAUUUUAGCAUAUUUGUAGCCACAUAAUAACAAAAAUAUUAUUUUAGCUUAAACAUUCAUUAAUUAAUGUUGACAAAAUUCCAGCAAAUAUCAUAGAAAUAAAAAGCAGAAAUAUUGAGAGAGGGAAAGAAGGACCUUGUAUUAGUUGAAAACUCCAAUUCAAUGUAUAAUAAGCCAAGCGGUUGUCCAGUCUAGCAAUAAAAGGAAAACAGGACAUGGACAGAAAAUUCUCGCUGAAAACCUCAACGAACGCAUGUUAGAAACCUUGCCGUAAACUCGAACGGAGACCACACCUUUGACUGAAAAAUACCUUCAACUAGGCUUACAAUUCCGUCACUCUAGUGAGGGGGCCAAUUUCUUUUGAAAAAUGAGAGAUUUGCCAUCUUCUUUUUUAGGAAGGAGGGGGGGGGUCUCUUUUUUGGGGUUCUGCCAUAUCUCUCAUUUAAGAGAGAUUAGAAAAGAAAUCUUGGGUUUGGUGGUUGUCCACUUAGAUAUCUUAUGGAAUAUAUUUUUUUAAAUCUUUUGGGAAAAGAAGAUAUAGAUUUUCUGAAGGGGGAGGGGAAACGGUUGUGGAGUUUAGCGAAUUAGCAACAUUUUUGUGUGGAGGGGGGGAGGUCUGUCGCUGGUUUUCUUUUGACAAGAGAGGGUCGAAUUUUUUUGGGGGAUUCUAUGGUUGUGUCUUAGAGUUGGAGAAAAUUAGGUUAGGGUUUGGGAGUAAUGUGUAUUUUAUAGGUGAGGAAGAAAAUGAAUC